rnacentral:rRNA from 1 species
UACGGAGGAUGCAAGCGUUAUCCGGAAUCAUUGGGCGUAAAGCGUCUGUAGGUGGUUUUGUAAGUCCGCUGUAAAAGAGUACAGCUUAACUGUAUAUGGGCAGUGGAAACUACAAGACUGGAGUGUGGUAGGGGUAGAGGGAAUUCCCGGUGUAGCGGUGAAAUGCGUAGAUAUCGGGAAGAACACCAACGGCGAAAGCACUCUACUGGGCCAACACUGACACUGAGAGACGAAAGCUAAGGGAGCGAAAAGG